UACAGAGGUGGCAAGCGUUGUUCGGAAUUACUGGGCGUAAAGGGCGAGUAGGCGGCCUUCUAAGUCAGACGUGAAAUCCCCCGGCUUAACCUGGGAACUGCGUCUGAUACUGGGAGGCUUGAGUAUGGGAGAGGGAUGUAGAAUUCCAGGUGUAACGGUGAAAUGCGUAGAUAUCUGGAGGAAUACCGGUGGCGAAGGCGGCAUCCUGGACCAUUACUGACGCUGAAUCGCGAAAGCUAGGGGAGCAAACGGG
rnacentral:rRNA from 1 species